CCCACUCCCGCCCGGCUCUGGAAGGGGGAAAGGGGUAAAAACGUACCCUUUUCCAGCGCUGGGCGGGGAGCUCUCCUCCUCCGAUCCUCCUCCAUUCCUCCCCGUCGGCUGAAUGUGCACGCGCGGCAAGAGCUGCGUGCGCAUUCAGCCAGUCGCAUAGGAAAGCAUUUACAAUGCUUUCCUAUGGACGCUUGCGUGCUGUCACUGUGAAAAUCCUAGAGGGAAUGGG